rnacentral:rRNA from 1 species
UUAAGUGACGAUAGCCUAGGAGAUACACCUGUACCCAUACCGAACACAGCAGUUAAGCCCUAGAACGCCUGAAGUAGUUGGGGGUUGCCCCCUGUUAGAUACGGUAGUCGCUUAGC